rnacentral:rRNA from 1 species
CGGCAGAUUACGGGAGGCGACAGUAGGGAAUCUUGCGCAAUGGGCGAAAGCCUGACGCAGCGACGCCCCGUGUAGGGAUGAAGGCCUUUGGGUCGUAAACCUCUGUCGGAGGGGAAGAAAUUUUGACGGUACCCUCCAAGGAAGCCCCGGCUAACUACGUGCCAGCAGCCGCGGUAA